AGUGAACGCUGGCGGUAGGCCUAACACAUGCAAGUCGAACGGCAGCACAGUAAGAGCUUGCUCUUACGGGUGGCGAGUGGCGGACGGGUGAGGAAUACAUCGGAAUCUACUUUUUCGUGGGGGAUAACGUAGGGAAACUUACGCUAAUACCGCAUACGACCUACGGGUGAAAGCAGGGGAUCUUCGGACCUUGCGCGAUUGAAUGAGCCGAUGUCGGAUUAGCUAGUUGGCGAGGUAAAGGCCCACCAAGGCGACGAUCCGUAGCUGGUCUGAGAGGAUGAUCAGCCACACUGGAACUGAGACACGGUCCAGACUCCUACGGGAGGCAGCAGUGGGGAAUAUUGGACAAUGGGCGCAAGCCUGAUCCAGCCAUACCGCGUGGGUGAAGAAGGCCUUCGGGUUGUAAAGCCCUUUUGUUGGGAAAGAAAAGCAGCAGGUUAAUACCCCGCUGUUCUGACGGUACCCAAAGAAUAAGCACCGGCUAACUUCGCG
rnacentral:rRNA from 1 species